rnacentral:lncRNA from 10 species
GGUCUGCGGCGCCCACGCGGAACUCGAACGCCUGCAGGGCCUCGUAGUCCAGCGACUGGAGAGCGAACAGAGUCUUGCUCUGUCACCUACACUGGAAUUCAGUGGCACAGUCUCAGCUCAGCUCACUGCAACCUCCACCUCCCGGGUUCAAGUGAUUCUCAUACCUCAGCCUCCUGAGUAGCUGGGAUUACAGAGACCUGGACUUAAUCUCAGCUGGUGUACAGAGUUCUCUCCAAAAACAAGUGGCCUACUUCACAUUCAGUGAAUUGAUAUAUUCUUAUUUUAAGUUAUCAGGAAAAAAAGUCCUUGGGAAUUGAGAAGCCAAUGAGAUUAGUCGUUCAAGCUGAAGUCAUUCUAUCUGCUAGCUGUCUGGAGCCACUGAAGCUGUGGGCGAACAGCAACAAGUUUAAGCUACAUCUGCACACUCUGCGGUCCAUCCAGAGACCAAGAAAGAAGCACAAGGAUCCUGCAGAGUCUUCCGAAGCCCAAGCCAAAUAUAU